UGACAAGACACAUUUUGAAUUUAAUUACGUGUUCAAGGAUGCUCGUGCUGAGGGAAAAAAAGUAGAACUACCACCACCUUGUGUACACACACCUCCCUGCAGUGUGUGUGUGUGUGUGUGUGUGCGUGUGUGUAUGGUGAAGUUUCUGUGUGUGUGUUUGUGUGUGUGUGUGUGUGUGUGUGUGUGUGUGUGUGUGUGUGUGUGUGUGUGUGUGUGAGUGUGUGUGUGUGUGUGUGUGUGUUAUUAAGCCACAGCAGAAUCUCAGCAGUGACUCACUGAAGGUGGACUAGUCUCAUCACACACUCAUCUCUCAGCAGGUAAUUUUCCUCUCUCGUCUCGUCAAGAGGAUCUACUGCGUGUCUUGAUUUCUUAUCAAUCAGAAAGUGAACCUGUGAA
ensembl:lncRNA